rnacentral:misc_RNA from 1 species
GAUGAAGAACGUAGCGAAAUGCGAUAAGUAAUGUGAAUUGCAGAAUUCAGUGAAUCAUCGAAUCUUUGAACGCACAUUGCGCCCGCCAGUAUUCUGGCGGGCAUGCCUGUUCGAGCGUCAUUACAACCCUCAGGCCCCCGGGCCUGGCGUUGGGGAUCGGCGGAGCCCCCCGUGGGCACACGCCGUCCCCCAAAUACAGUGGCGGUCCCGCCGCAGCUUCCAUCGCGUAGUAGCUAACACCUCGCGACUGGAGAGCGGCGCGGCCACGCCGUAAAACACCCAACUCUUCUGAAGUUGACCUCGAAUCAGGUAGGAAUACCCGCUGAACUUAAGCAUAUCAAUAAGCGGAAGA